rnacentral:rRNA from 2 species
CUAUACAUGCAGUCGAGCGAACUGAUUAGAAGCUUGCUUCUAUGACGUUAGCGGCGGACGGGUGAGUAACACGUGGGCAACCUGCCUGUAAGACUGGGAUAACUUCGGGAAACCGAAGCUAAUACCGGAUAGGAUCUUCUCCUUCAUGGGAGAUGAUUGAAAGAUGGUUUCGGCUAUCACUUACAGAUGGGCCCGCGGUGCAUUAGCUAGUUGGUGAGGUAACGGCUCACCAAGGCAACGAUGCAUAGCCGACCUGAGAGGGUGAUCGGCCACACUGGGACUGAGACACGGCCCAGACUCCUACGGGAGGCAGCAGUAGGGAAUCUUCCGCAAUGGACGAAAGUCUGACGGAGCAACGCCGCGUGAGUGAUGAAGGCUUUCGGGUCGUAAAACUCUGUUGUUAGGGAAGAACAAGUACGAGAGUAACUGCUCGUACCUUGACGGUACCUAACCAGAAAGCCACGGCUAACUACGUGCCAGCAGCCGCGGUAAUACGUAGGUGGCAAGCGUUAUCCGGAAUUAUUGGGCGUAAAGCGCGCGCAGGCGGUUUCUUAAGUCUGAUGUGAAAGCCCACGGCUCAACCGUGGAGGGUCAUUGGAAACUGGGGAACUUGAGUGCAGAAGAGAAAAGCGGAAUUCCACGUGUAGCGGUGAAAUGCG